GGGGAUAUAGCUCAGAGGUGGAGCGCUCGCUUGCCAUGAGAGACGGCUGGGUUUCAAAUCCCCAUAUCUCCA
rfam:Ascaris suum AG03508, whole genome shotgun sequence.